CCGAGCUGUCCAUCUGAAUCUCGACACCGUUAACGAAGUAAGGAAAAGACCUAGAGGGCACAUUUGUUCUUUAACCAGAUCCAACUUAGAAAAUAGAAGGAAGAGAGGAAAGAAAACAAAAGAGAAGGAAUAAGACAACACCCUGCCCCAAUAAUCUACGUUCACCGGAGGCUCACUUACACCACGCUUUCAUCCAUGGAGGAAGCUGGCAACAAGAACAAAUUGAAGGAAUCGAAGACGAAUGUUGCUUCUUUGGAUAAAGAGGAUGCGAGGAGCCUCGACGUGAAUGAGUACUCGCCAUACAGUUCUAGUCGUGUGCGUGGAAAUAUGUC
rnacentral:lncRNA from 1 species